rnacentral:rRNA from 1 species
GUCUAUGGCCAUGCUACUCUGAACGUGCCCGAUCUCAUCUGUCAGGCCUGUUUAGUACUUGGAUGGGAGACCACCUAGGAAUAUAAGGUGCUGUAGGUG